GCAGAGUAGAAUACCUGGCGUAAAGUGCCGUAUGAACGGGGAGUUGUCAUACGGACGAAAAACGUUUGUUUGCGGUCUGGUAUUCGCAUCCCGCUGC
rnacentral:ncRNA from 1 species